rnacentral:lncRNA from 1 species
UUAUUUUUGGUAGAUUGGUAAGAAUGCUACUCUUCUGCAGAUCUGUGGAGCCACAGAAGAAUUUUCGCCUGUGUGCUGGAACUUCCUCGGUCCCAUGGAAGCCAGGACCUGGGACUCUCUCCAAGGGCUGGCAUCAGCUAAUCAGAGGAAGAUCCAAAUUCAGGAUCAAGGCCUGAGACUGCCACAUGAUGCUCAUUAGUAAAGCGACUUUAA